rnacentral:rRNA from 1 species
AACGUAGGGGGCCAGCGUUGCUCGGAAUUACUGGGCGUAAAGGGUCCGUAGGCGGUGCGGCAAGUCGGGAGUGAAAUCUCUGGGCUUAACUCAGAGGCUGCUUCCGAAACUGCCGUGCUCGAGUGUGAGAGAGGCGAGUGGAAUUACGGGUGUAGCGGUGAAAUGCGUAGAUAUCCGUAGGAACAUCCGAGGCGAAAGCGGCUCGCUGGAUCACAACUGACGCUGAGGGACGAAAGCUAGGGGAGCAAACAGG